UUAAGAGCUGUAGUGCUGAUCACAGUGUGUUCAGUCCUUUCAGAGCCACUGACACGCAGCACAAUGAUGAUGGUACUGAUUCUACUGCUGGGGACACUGGGACUCCUCGCUCACCAGUCCUUUGGGGAAAUCGUCGUGACUCAGUCUCCAGGAUCUCAGUCUGUUUCUCCAGGAGAAUCUGUUACUCUCACCUGUAGAGCCAGUCAGUACAUUCAUGAUGACCUCACCUGGUACCUGCAGAAACCUGGAGAAGCUCCUAAAGCCCUGAUCUAUGAUGCAUCUCACCUGGAGCCUGGGAUUCCAGAUCGUUUCAGUGGCAGUUAUUCUGGGUCAGAAUUUAGUUUAAAAAUCUCUGGAGUUCAGUCUGAAGAUGCAGGAGAUUAUUACUGUCAGCUGGAAUACGUCCCAUACACACAGUGUUAUAGCGCCGUACAAAAACCUCCCUCAGCUGUAGAGGAAGUGCUCUGAGUCAGAAACACACACUGAUCUGAGAACAGCUGCAGAGCUGCUAAAGCUGCACUCCACUGAACAUCAUCAAACGUGUUCAUGUUUAAAUAAUAAUCAUUCCUGAAAAGCAGAAAACUCUUAAUCAGCUGUUCCUUCUGUGAUGAAAAAUCAGCUGAUGUGUAUAAUGGUAUAUGAUGAUUUCCACCUUCUGCUAAGAGGAGCAGUGUCUACUACACACUACUGUAACACACAAUGUAGUGCAGGAUCUUUCAAUAAGAGUCAAAUCAGUUUUCUCAUCAUCCUCAAAGUAUAACCACACAAGCAGUACUUAAUUUGUUCCAGAUCAGAGUGUGUUCAGUCCUUUCAGAGCCACUGACACGCAGCACAAUGAUGAUGGUACUGAUUCUACUGCUGGGGACACUGGGACUCCUCGCUCACCAGUCCUUUGGGGAAACUGUCCUGACUCAGUCUCCAGGAUCUCAGUCUGUUUCUCCAGGAGACUCAAUUUGUUUUGUUUGUGUGUGUUUUAGUUAGUUAGGGAGUAAGGAAAUAAUUUGUCAAUCAUUUAUUUUCUUCAUUUGUCAGGUAAUGUAAAGUUUGUCAUUUUAAUUUUAAAUUAAUAUUCUAAACUAAAAAGAGGAUAUUUUAAGAGAAUGAUCGCUUAAUGAGACUGAUUGAAUACAUUUACAGUGAUCCACAUAUUGCUGGUAUGUAUAUUGUACAGCUUCCAUUUCUAGUGUUUCCUGUAUAAACAGACCCAUUUCCUAUACAUUUUAUGGCACCACAUGUGAGGACUAUACUUUUUGAUAUCAGAGUGAUACCAAGCUUUGUAAGUUUAAUAACAUAAAGUCAUAGUUUAUGUAGGAAACAUCCACAUCGUCACCAGGUGGUGCCACGUUGCCAACAGCGUUUACAGAGUUAGAGCCUUUGCCUGCAAACAGUUUGAACAUUGAUAAUGUUCGUUGCUAAGCUAAUUCCCAGUUAAUUUCAGGAUAGAUUAGAACAAAUGAUUAUCAAAAUAAUAGUAUUAUUAGUAUUUAUUUCACAGUUAGUUACACAGUCUUAUACCACAGUGUGUUGAGUAUCCGGUGUGCAGUUGUACUGCCUACCACACCUUGCACUACAUACUUGUUGCCACUUCUGUAGUUCACUCUGACCACAGUCAGAGGAAGAUCGGGAGCAAAUCCCAUACAUGCAUAUUGUGCAUUUCAGGAACUCCUGCAUUGAUUACUCGCCUCUGUGCAUAAAAGUUUCCACAGUAGUGAGAGUGAUAAGCACAAAGUUAAGCACCUCGGCAUUCGCAUCCAGAGGAUCUCACCUGCACAAUCAACACCAGCUCCCAGCCAAGAGAGCCCAGCCGUGCUUACAUUUCCCCUGGUAUCUGAAGAAGGCAAACAUCCCUCCACCCAUCCUCAUUACAUUCUACAGGGGCAUCAUAGAGAGUGUCCAGCUGCAUCUUAACUAGCUGUCUUAUUUGGAUAUUACAAGGUCUCUGACUGCAAGACCCUACAGGGGAUAGUGUAGACAGCAUCAUCGGCACACCUCUACCCCUGUUCAGGACAUUUUCUACUCAUGCUGCAUCCACAAGGCCUCUAGUAUUGUGGACUAUCCCUCCGGCCCCACCCACAUACUAUUUGCUCCUCUGCCACCUGGCACAAGUUUCUGUCGCAAUCGUUCAAGGACUGCCAGACUAGGUAACACCUUCUACCACCAUGUACUCCCAUGUAACGCCAUCCUCCAAUGCACAGACAUUUUACAUCACUUGUUACUUUACAUGUCACUUUAGUGUUUUGGUUUAAGCAAGAACCUCUGUCUAUUAAUUGCUAUUUUGAUUGUACUUUGUUUACAACUACAAUGCUGCACUGCCAUAUUAAAUUUCAUUUCAGUUCAAGUUGCAGCUAUGGACCUUGUUAGUGUUUAGAGUAAUGGUAGGGUUUUUAAUGUAAUAUUAAAUGUUUUGUGGAGCAUUUUUGCUCUUACUGCCCUCCUGUGUACUCACCCGACAGUUUCCCAUUACCGCCUCCCUGCAUGCUUCAUUACUCUUACUGCACUUUAUGUCCUGUUUCACUGUGUAUGUCAUGCAUGUAUGGGUCGAGGCGAAACGUUAUUUCAUGUCACUGUUUACUGUACAUUGUAUAUGGUUUUGAUGACAAUAAAU